GUGUCAGCAGCCGCGGUAAGACGAGCCACACAAACGUUAUUCGGAAUUACUGGGCUUAAAGGGUGCGUAGGCGGUGCGGAAAGUAGGGUGUGAAAGCCCUCGGCUCAACCGAGGAAUGGCGCUCUAAACUACCGUGCUUGAGGGAGACAGAGGUAAGCGGAACUUCGGGUGGAGCGGUGAAAUGCGUUGAUAUCCGAAGGAACACCGGUGGCGAAAGCGGCUUACUGGGUCUUCUCUGACGCUGAGGCACGAAAGCUAGGGUAGCAAACGGGAUUAGAUACCCCGGUAGUCC
rnacentral:rRNA from 1 species